rnacentral:rRNA from 1 species
UACAGAGGGGGCAAGCGUUGUUCGGAAUUACUGGGCGUAAAGGGCGCGUAGGCGGCCUGUUAAGUCGAACGUGAAAUCCCCGGGCUCAACCCGGGAACUGCGUCUGAUACUGGAUGGCUUGAGAUUGGGAGAGGGAUGCGGAAUUCCAGGUGUAGCGGUGAAAUGCGUAGAUAUCGGGAGGAACACCAGUGGCGAAGGCGAGUCUCUGGGAUGAUGCUGACGCUGAGGCGCGAAAGCCAGGGGAGCAAACGGG